rnacentral:lncRNA from 1 species
CACUGAUUUGGGGCUCCCUUAAGGUCAAGGCAGAUUGUGGCUGACUACAUUCAGGGUCUCCCAGAUAUUUGCCCUCUUGUGUAAUCUCCUUCCACAUUGAUUUUGGGCUCAGGCAUAUGAUUGGCGUUGACAUGUCAGCAAACUCGGCACAAAUUCAACAAGGGUUUGCACGUUGGAACACUGCUAUGGAAACACCCAGGUGAACUCACCACCACCUGUCAGCCCAGGUGAGAAAGCAAAAACUUGUAUAGACAACUCCCAGAAUCAUGAAAAAUAGUAAGUUAUUGUUUUUAAUCUAUAAGUUUUGGGGCUUUUUGUUUUGCAAUAAUAGGUAAUUGAAGCACAUGCCUUAUUUAUUGUUUAUCCUUGUUUUAAAUUAUUUGUUUACUUACUUAUUUAUUCAAGUACUGUGAUUAGCACUGGGGGAAGGAGAGAGAGGCCCUGCUUUAGACAUCUGUCCAGUGAGGAAUAUCAAAAAAUAAAGGGCUUAUUAGAGCACUAUGAUGUCACAGUGCGUGACUAUGGCAGGACAGAGGAUGAAAAGAUUACUUGGACUUGGUCUACAGCCCAGAAGGACUGAGAAUAUCCAGUGGGAGGGAGUCUCAAGGGAGCAGUCCUGAACCGAGAACUCUUUGGCUUUUAUCACAAGGAAAAACAGGAAGAAAACCAGAUUGGGUGGCAAGGAACAGGAAGAUUUAGCAUUGAGGCUUUGUCUGGGAGGAAAUGCUGCCAACGCCUGCUACAGCGUCAGAAGCAACCUGAGAGAACGAGCCCUCCGGAGAUGGCGAGAUGCGGACUGCUGGUUCCCCUCGCUGACCGAGUCAGCUCAUCACCCAGACACGUACGACUCACUAGAAUUUUGUUGCUUUUAAAUCUGUCACCACAGGUUGAUGCCACAUUCAUAAAUAUUACUGAUUUAUACAAGACUGAAAACUGUGGGUUUUUUUUUUAGGUAAGCAGAGGGUUCCGCUGAAUUCUAGGAAUGGGCUAGAGAGUACCUGCUCCUCUGAUUGCAUUAACAGGGCUCCAGGAAAAAUCAAGCCGCUUGUUUAUACAGCCUGUCUUCCUUCACAGGGUUCUUACCAGAAUCAAAUGAGAUCCUGAGAGAGUUAGACUCUCGAGGUAGAAAGAGCAGUCAGACAAUGAGAAACACCUGAAUUCUAAUCCUGGGACUUUCCCCCACAGCUUUGAGUUUUCGUUUUCUUAUGUGGAGAGCGGGUAGGGACAGUUGUUCUGUGUCUCUCACGGCGGAUGUGCACAUUGCACGACACACUGCGUGAACGCAAAACUCCUUUCCAUUUCUGUUGCAGGCUCAGAGAUUUCCAGUCACUGGCUUCUAGAUGAGAUUCAUUUACUUUUAUCUCAUCCCUCAGUCACCACUUGCACAGUGACACAAAAUGAUUGGCCGGGAUUAGCGGUGUGGUCUGUGAAGGUGAAAUUGAGUGCAACAAGAAGAAUCAUAAAAGGCCCCAAAACCGGGGCCUUGACUUCAUUAAGCAGGCGCAAUAUUCAUCUAGUGAUCUAUCCUCAGUCAGAUGCAGCCUCCUGACCUUUUGCCAGCUUAGCCAUGCUGUCAGCAGCUGGGGGCCCUGCCAAAGGGCAGGGGAGGGAGCCCCAGGUUGCCCACACUGCAUAUUAUCUGGGGAAUAUUCAAGAGCGACUGUGAAAGAAGUCCCUGGCUUGUAAUUUUACUUCAAAACUAAAAACAAAAAUAAAAACAAA